ACCUUUGUUCCCGUUAAUGGUUUAUUUCAACGUUUGAAAUAAUUAAAAGGGAAGCCGGUGUAAAUCCGGAACAGUUCCCGCUGCUGUAAGCUCAUCAUUACGUUAUAUUUCAUUUAGCCACUGAAUUUAUUUGGGAAGGCGGAUAUAACAGAGUAAGUCAGAAGACCUGCCACUAACACACUAUUCGA
rnacentral:ncRNA from 2 species